AAAGUUUAAUUUUUAAUUAAAUCUGAAAUACCAAUUAUAACUGAAAGAGAUUUUAACCUGUUUCUUUUCAGACUGCCUGAAGUUACAUUGUAGAUGCUGAAAUCACUGCACCUUAAAAACAAAAAGAUUAAGCCACACUGCAUUCCUAAGGGCUGUCCACUGCUAGAAACCUGCUACUGGAAGCAAUCUAUUCCUGCGCCCAGGAGGCUGACUGUAAAUCAGUUUGGUUUGUAGUAUCCUUUUCAAAUACACAAUAAACAUCAGAG
rnacentral:lncRNA from 1 species